UACGUAGGGUGCGAGCGUUAAUCGGAAUUACUGGGCGUAAAGCGUGCGCAGGCGGUUUUGUAAGCCAGAUGUGAAAUCCCCGGGCUUAACCUGGGAAUGGCAUUUGGGACUGCAAGGCUGGAGUGCGGCAGAGGAGACUGGAAUUCCUGGUGUAGCAGUGAAAUGCGUAGAUAUCAGGAGGAAUACCGAUGGCGAAAGGCAGGUCUCUGGGCUGACACUGACGCUCAUGCACGAAAGCGUGGGGAGCAAACAGG
rnacentral:rRNA from 1 species